rnacentral:rRNA from 1 species
GAUUUCUGGCUUGCCCCAUACAGCCGGCCACGGUUUCGUGUGUUAGUGCGGUGUGGGCUGGCCAUCCUUCCCAGACUCGUUGGCACGGCUUCAUUGCUGGGUCAGCGGACUGGGAUCGUUUACUUUGAAAAAAUUAGAGUGUUUCAAGCAGGCUUUAUGCUAUGAAUACAUUAGCAUGGAAUAAUGAUUUAGGACUUCGGUUCUAUUUUGUUGGUUUCUAGGACGGAAGUAAUGAUUGAUAGGGAUAGUUGGGGGUGCUAGUAUUCAGCGGCCAGAGGUGAAAUUCUUGGAUUCGCUGAAGACUAACUUAUGCGAAAGCAUU